UAAGGAAAAACAGUGCUAUUUUAGAAAACUUUAACAGUGUGAUGGUCACAGAAAAUACCAUGAUCUUAACAAAAAUAUCAGGGAAAUAAAAAAGACAUAGUACAAAAGUAAAGAAAGGGGGAGAACAGAAAUUGAAGCACUGAAAGAAGAUUGGAUCUGGCAACUGAGACUUUAUGUUGGGGGAGGAAGAAACUGGUAGAGAGAGGGCUAAAGAGGUGAAGCAGCAGCUCCUCGCUGGCCGGGGUGGAAAGGAGGCUUGACUGCCACAGAUAUAGGUGGCGACUAAUGGGCUCAAGGCUCAGUGCUCCACAGUGGGGAAGGAAGUUGGGGAUAAGAUGGAAGCAGACUGAGGAAAGAACAGGUCAAGGUAGUAUAAAAAGAAAAAGAACAUCAAUUAGUUGAAACAUGU
rnacentral:lncRNA from 1 species